UCGGCAACGGAUAUCUCGGCUCUUACAUCGAUGAAGAACGUAGCAAAAUGCGAUACUUGGUGUGAAUUGCAGAAUCCCGUGAACCAUCGAGUCUUUGAACGCAAGUUGCGCCCGAAUCCCUUGGGUUAAGGGCACGUCUGCCUGGGUGUCACGUACACACGUCUCCCACAAUCCUUUGCCCUUUGCGGACGAAGGGUCUUGUGCGAGCAGAGAUUGGUAUCCCGUGCCC
rnacentral:rRNA from 2 species